GUAGGGUGGCAAGCGUUGUCCGGAAUUAUGGGCGUAAAGCGCGCGCAGGGCGGUUCUUUAAGUCUGAUGUGAAAGCCCACGGCUCAACCGUGGAGGGUCAUUGGAAACUGGAGAACUUGAGUACAGAAGAGGAAAGCGGAAUUCCACGUGUAGCGGUGAAAUGCGUAGAGAUGUGGAGGAACACCAGUGGCGAAGGCGGCUUUCUGGUCUGUAACUGACGCUGAGGCGCGAAAGCGUGGGGAGCAAACAGGAUUAGAUAACCCUGGUAGUCCACGCCGUAAACGAUGAGUGCUAAGUGUUAGGGGGUUUCCGCCCCUUAGUGCUGCAGCUAACGCAUUAAGCACCCCGCCUGGGGAGUACGGCCGCAAAGGCUG
rnacentral:rRNA from 1 species